AUUCCGUAGCUAAAUAGUCGUUAAAAUAUACUGAAUUUUUAAUUUUAUUUAUGAAAAUUAAUAUUCCGUAGCUAAAUAGUAGUUAAAAUAUGUUGAAUUUUUUGUUUUAUUUUCUAAAUUAGAUUUCCGUUGUUAAAGAGUCGUUAAUAUUUAUCUAAAUAGUUCUCUGCAUCUUCUCUUCAGCUCACGCCCCAUUUGCCGUCUAUCUCUGAAAUAAGCUCCCGCGCCGUCGUUCUCGCCGCCGCGCGCUUCGAUCUCCGCCGUCUUCCCCGCCGCCCGCUCCGAUAUCCGCCGUCUAUCUCUGCAUCUUCUCCCCAUCGUCGCCUUCCGUUGCUGCUGAAGGAAAUUAGACAAUUGUGCUCAUAUCUUGUUGAUUUGAAAAGAGCUUCCGCUGAAGAAAUGUGCCGAAGUGUUUAUGCAAAUUAUACAGCUUUUAUUCGGUGGCGCCUCUAAGUUGGUCUGAGUGGACUGUUGUUUUAUAUCUUUCUUUUCCGGUAAUAGUAAUUGAUGAGAUAUUGAAGUUCUUCUCAAGAAGCUCAAGAGGUUGGAAAAGAAUGCCAAUUCAAUGAUUCCAUCUAUUCCUGGUUGGCAGGGAAUAAACAGAGAGAGGCUACUCUACAAGCUACUCUACAGGCUGAGGUGCAGGAGCGACGACGAAAAGAAGCAGAAAUGGAGGCUGAGGUGCAGGAGCGACGACGAAAAGAAGCAGAAAUGGAGACUAGGCAGUUGGAAAUGCAACAACAAAUUUCUCAGCUUAUGAAAUUCUUCCAAUCAUCCUCCCGUUCCUCGCCUCCACCCUAAAUACAUGUUUUGUACUUAUUAUAUAUUGUUAUUAGAUUUUUAUUUAGAUGUUUAUGAAUUUAUUACACUAACAGGUAUCCUUUAUGAUA